CAGUGACUCUCCUCCCACCACACAGACCCUCACUGACUCUGCUCUCUGAGAUCACUCGGCUCUGAACUCGACCAUGAUCACAGCUGGUCUCCUCAGUCUCUCUGCAGCUCUGCUCUGUAUUAUAGGUGGAAUCGAUGGGAGUGAUGUGGACCAGGACCCUCUGCUGUGGGCGGCAGAGGGUCAAUCUGCCACACUCAACUGCAGUCACACGAAAGGUGUAAGUUAUUAUCAGAUGUACUGGUUCAGACUGCGGCCCGGGGAGAUGAUGCAGCAGAUAGUUCUCACCACCUUAAUGCCACCACAUCAGUACUGGACCGGCUUCACUGAGGACAAAUUUCCUGCCAAGAAGGACAAAGCUGAGACCGGAUCUUUGACGGUGGAGAAGCUGGAGCCUUCAGACAGUGGAGUGUAUUACUGUGCUGUGAGUGAACACAGUGAUACAGGGGACUCAGACAGCUGCACAAAUACCACACUGUUGAAUAAAUGAAUGAAAGACCUCAGUGGUUUCAUUAUCUGUAGGGGGAGCUCCAAACCUGUACACUAGGCUCAGGUUGAAGGUCUUCAUUUGCUCUUUUCAUAACACAGAGUUUUUGCCCCAGGGAGACAAAAGGUUCUGAUGUGAAGUGUGAUGAAAAAUAAAAAAGCCUGUUGUUGUAAUUUUUCAGUCGUAUAUAUCUUCACAUGUAUGACUGGAAUAAACUGAUGUUGAAAAAGCCUCACUCUUACACUGAUGCCUCGUCAUGACCUGCAGAGUCAAAUGAGAUUAUUAGACAUCACAUUAUUUGUUUCUAUGAAUUUUAGUGUCUGCUCACCUU